rnacentral:rRNA from 1 species
GCUAGUUGGUGAGAUAAUAGCUCACCAAGGCGGUGAUACGUAGCAGACCUGAGAGGGUAAUCUGCCACAAUGGGACUGAGACACGGCCCAUACUCCUACGGGAGGCAGCAGUAGGGAAUCUUCCACAAUGGACGAAAGUCUGAUGGAGCAACGCCGCGUGAGUGAAGAAGGGUUUCGGCUCGUAAAACUCUGUUGUUAGAGAAGAACGGCUGUGAGAGUAACUGCUCACAGUGUGACGGUAUCUAACCAGAAAGUCACGGCUAACUACGUGCCAGCAGCCGCGGUAAUACGUAGGUGGCAAACGUUGUCCGGAUUUAUUGGGCGUAAAGGGAGCGCAGGCGGUUUAUUAAGUCUGAUGUGAAAGCCUUCGGCUUAACCGGAGAAGUGCAUCGGAAACUGAUAAACUUGAGUGCAGAAAAGGAUAGUGGAACUUCAUGUGUAGCGGUGAAAUGCGUAGAUAUAUGAAGGAACACCAGUGGCGAAGGCGGCUAUCUGGUCUGUAACUGACGCUGAGGCUCGAAAGCAUGGGUAGUAAACAGGAUUAGAUACCCUGGUAGUCCAUGCCGUAAACGAUGAAUGCUAGGUGUUGGGAGGUUUCCGCCUCUCAGUGCCGCAGCUAACGCAUUAAGCAUUCCGCCUGGGGAGUACGACCGCAAGGUUGAAACUCAAAGGAAUUGACGGGGACCCGCACAAGCGGUGGAGCAUGUGGUUUAAUUCGAUGCUACGCGAAGAACCUUACCAGGACUUGACAUCUUCUGCCAAUCUAAGAGAUUAGAC